AUACUCUGGUUUCUCUUCAGAUCAAAUAAAUCUUUCGCCUUUUACUAAAAA
rnacentral:snRNA from 1 species